rnacentral:tRNA from 1 species
GACAGUCUGGCCGAGCGGUUAAGGCGUUACACUCGAAUUUUUUGCCAUAAACAGUGUAUUAUGGGAAUUUUACCUAAACAAGCAAUGUAAUGGGUUUACCCGCACAGGUUCGAAUCCUGUGGCUGUCG